UGUCUGGGAAACUGCCUGAUGGAGGGGGAUAACUGCUGGAAACGGUAGCUAAUACCGCAUAAUGUCGCAAGACCAAAGUGGGGGACCUUCGGGCCUCAUGCCAUCAGAUGUGCCCAGAUGGGAUUAGCUAGUAGGUGGGGUAACGGCUCACCUAGGCGACGAUCCCUAGCUGGUCUGAGAGGAUGACCAGCCACACUGGAACUGAGACACGGUCCAG
rnacentral:rRNA from 1 species